GGGUUGUGAGGUUAAGCGACUAAGCGUACACGGUGGAUGCCCUGGCAGUCAGAGGCGAUGAAGGGCGUGCUAAUCUGCGAUAAGCGCCGGUAAGGUGAUAUGAACCGUUAUAACCGGCGAUACCCGAAUGGGGAAACCCAGUGUGAUUCGUCACACUAUCAUUAACUGAAUCCAUAGGUUAAUGAGGCGAACCGGGGGAACUGAAACAUCUAAGUACCCCGAGGAAAAGAAAUCAACCGAGAUUCCCCCAGUAGCGGCGAGCGAACGGGGAGGAGCCCAGAGCCUGAAUCAGCAUGUGUGUUAGUGGAAGCGUCUGGAAAGGCGCGCGAUACAGGGUGACAGCCCCGUACACAAAAGCGCAUGUGCUGUGAGCUCGAUGAGUAGGGCGGGACACGUGGUAUCCUGUCUGAAUAUGGGGGGACCAUCCUCCAAGGCUAAAUACUCCUGACUGACCGAUAGUGAACCAGUACCGUGAGGGAAAGGCGAAAAGAACCCCGGCGAGGGGAGUGAAAAAGAACCUGAAACCGUGUACGUACAAGCAGUGGGAGCACAGGUUUACCUGUGUGACUGCGUACCUUUUGUAUAAUGGGUCAGCGACUUAUAUUCUGUAGCAAGGUUAACCGUAUAGGGGAGCCGGAGGGAAACCGAGUCUUAACCGGGCGUUAAGUUGCAGGGUAUAGACCCGAAACCCGGUGAUCUAGCCAUGGGCAGGUUGAAGGUUGGGUAACACUAACUGGAGGACCGAACCGACUAAUGUUGAAAAAUUAGCGGAUGACCUGUGGCUGGGGGUGAAAGGCCAAUCAAACCGGGAGAUAGCUGGUUCUCCCCGAAAGCUAUUUAGGUAGCGCCUCGUGAAUUCAUCUCCGGGGGUAGAGCACUGUUUCGGCUAGGGGGCCAUCCCGGCUUACCAACCCGAUGCAAACUGCGAAUACCGGAGAAUGUUAUCACGGGAGACACACGGCGGGUGCUAACGUCCGUCGUGAAGAGGGAAACAACCCAGACCGCCAGCUAAGGUCCCAAAGUCAUGGUUAAGUGGGAAACGAUGUGGGAAGGCCCAGACAGCCAGGAUGUUGGCUUAGAAGCAGCCAUCAUUUAAAGAAAGCGUAAUAGCUCACUGGUCGAGUCGGCCUGCGCGGAAGAUGUAACGGGGCUAAACCAUGCACCGAAGCUGCGGCAGCGAACGUAUCACUUAAAGCGAUUCAGCGGGUUACGAUUGACGGAGCGAAGCGACGUCAAAGCGUAUACAAAGUCGAGUCGGUUUAAGGAUACGUUCGUUGGGUAGGGGAGCGUUCUGUAAGCCUGUGAAGGUGGCCUGUGAGGGUUGCUGGAGGUAUCAGAAGUGCGAAUGCUGACAUAAGUAACGAUAAAGCGGGUGAAAAGCCCGCUCGCCGGAAGACCAAGGGUUCCUGUCCAACGUUAAUCGGGGCAGGGUGAGUCGACCCCUAAGGCGAGGCCGAAAGGCGUAGUCGAUGGGAAACGGGUUAAUAUUCCCGUACUUGGUGUUACUGCGAAGGGGGGACGGAGAAGGCUAUGUUGGCCGGGCGACGGUUGUCCCGGUUUAAGCGUGUAGGCUGGUUUUCCAGGCAAAUCCGGAAAAUCAAGGCUGAGGCGUGACGACGAGGCACUACGGUGCUGAAGCAACAAAUGCCCUGCUUCCAGGAAAAGCCUCUAAGCAUCAGGUAACAUCAAAUCGUACCCCAAACCGACACAGGUGGUCAGGUAGAGAAUACCAAGGCGCUUGAGAGAACUCGGGUGAAGGAACUAGGCAAAAUGGUGCCGUAACUUCGGGAGAAGGCACGCUGACACGUAGGUGAAGUGAUUUACUCACGGAGCUGAAGUCAGUCGAAGAUACCAGCUGGCUGCAACUGUUUAUUAAAAACACAGCACUGUGCAAACACGAAAGUGGACGUAUACGGUGUGACGCCUGCCCGGUGCCGGAAGGUUAAUUGAUGGGGUCAGCGCAAGCGAAGCUCCUGAUCGAAGCCCCGGUAAACGGCGGCCGUAACUAUAACGGUCCUAAGGUAGCGAAAUUCCUUGUCGGGUAAGUUCCGACCUGCACGAAUGGCGUAAUGAUGGCCAGGCUGUCUCCACCCGAGACUCAGUGAAAUUGAACUCGCUGUGAAGAUGCAGUGUACCCGCGGCAAGACGGAAAGACCCCGUGAACCUUUACUAUAGCUUGACACUGAACAUUGAGCCUUGAUGUGUAGGAUAGGUGGGAGGCUUUGAAGCGUGGACGCCAGUCUGCGUGGAGCCGACCUUGAAAUACCACCCUUUAAUGUUUGAUGUUCUAACGUGGACCCGUAAUCCGGGUUGCGGACAGUGUCUGGUGGGUAGUUUGACUGGGGCGGUCUCCUCCUAAAGAGUAACGGAGGAGCACGAAGGUUGGCUAAUCCUGGUCGGACAUCAGGAGGUUAGUGCAAUGGCAUAAGCCAGCUUGACUGCGAGCGUGACGGCGCGAGCAGGUGCGAAAGCAGGUCAUAGUGAUCCGGUGGUUCUGAAUGGAAGGGCCAUCGCUCAACGGAUAAAAGGUACUCCGGGGAUAACAGGCUGAUACCGCCCAAGAGUUCAUAUCGACGGCGGUGUUUGGCACCUCGAUGUCGGCUCAUCACAUCCUGGGGCUGAAGUAGGUCCCAAGGGUAUGGCUGUUCGCCAUUUAAAGUGGUACGCGAGCUGGGUUUAGAACGUCGUGAGACAGUUCGGUCCCUAUCUGCCGUGGGCGCUGGAGAACUGAGGGGGGCUGCUCCUAGUACGAGAGGACCGGAGUGGACGCAUCACUGGUGUUCGGGUUGUCAUGCCAAUGGCACUGCCCGGUAGCUAAAUGCGGAAGAGAUAAGUGCUGAAAGCAUCUAAGCACGAAACUUGCCCCGAGAUGAGUUCUCCCUGAGACUUAGAGUCUCCUGAAGGAACGUUGAAGACGACGACGUUGAUAGGCCGGGUGUGUAAGCGCAGCGAUGCGUUGAGCUAACCGGUACUAAUGAACCGUGAGGCUUAACCUUACAACGCCGAAG
rnacentral:rRNA from 2 species